rnacentral:tRNA from 1 species
GUGGGUAUAGCUCAGUGGUAGAGCAUAUGUUCAGUAUGCAUCAGGGCCUGGGUUCAAUCCCUAAUACCUCCA